AUUGAACGCUGGCGGCAGGCCUAACACAUGCAAGUCGAGCGAGCGGCGGACGGGUGAGUAAUGUAUGGGGACUGCCCGAUAGAGGGGGAUAACUACUGGAAACGGUAGCUAAUACCGCAUACUAUCGGAUAACCCAUAUGGAAUUAGCUAGUAGGUGAGGUAAUGGCUCACCUAGGCGACGAUCCCUAGCUGGUCUGAGAGGAUGAUCAGCCACACUGGGACUUGGGCAGGGACCGGACUCCUACGGAGGCAGCGGUGAGGAAUAUUGCACAAUGGGCUCAAGCCUGAUGCAGCCAUGCCGCGUGUAUGAAGAAGGCCCGAGUGUUGUAAAGUACUUUCAGUCGGGAGGCGUUACCGACAGGAGAAGCACCGGCUAACUCCGUGCCAGCCGCCGCGGUAAUAC
rnacentral:rRNA from 1 species